ensembl:ncRNA lncRNA:CR46030 long non-coding RNA:CR46030
AGGCGGAGGUCACAAAUGGCAAAUGUUGGCUGCUAGGCAGCCGGGCUUAGAGCUCAUAACAAUCCAGCUUAAUAAUACAAUAAAUGCAAUCAAAAUAACAAUAAACAUGCAGCAUUGCCCGCAAAUGGCAACAAAAUAAAAGGGAAUAACUGAACUGAACCCCGAGCUCAGCCGCCUAAACGGAUGAGGAGUAUGGAAUUGUGUGCCUGGGCAGAAAUUAUGACAAUAUGCAAACGAGUUUUCACAAAGGCGGCGGUUCCACAACGGAGCACAGACAGGAGGCGCUGGAGGAACACAAAUCGCAGACAAAAGGCGAAAGGCGAAGCCACGUUAAAUGUGGUGGGCUGGCCGGAAAGGAGCUAUGAGGCGCUACCAGCGAAAGGGAGACGGUGCACGGAAAAAACCACACUCGAAAUCAAGAUCUUGCUCUAGAAACUGAGACUCGGGGGAUUAUAAAAAGGUAUUACCAGGUAACAGAAAAAAAAC